UGUUGGAGGCUCCUGAGCCAAUCGGAGGCCAGAGCUCUUGCCUUUGGGUGUGCAUUUAUUUAUUUUUUUGCUCCAGAAAUUCCGGCUUGCGCUGGGGGAUGCCCUUGCUGCGAGCGGGGGCCUGGAAAAAAAAAUCUCUCUCUCCUCUCGCUAUAUUUAUACUGGCCUUUCAAACUCAACUCAUCUAAGGAGCUAUUAGGCUGUCUGUCUGUCUAGGGCAAUAAUGUUUGAACAGGCCUUCCAAUCUGUGACCGUUUAAACAAGGGCCAUUUCAAGGAAAGGCAUAUGAUUGAUAUUUCAAAUAUGUCUCUUAAAAGAAAAAAGGGGGGGGGAAGAGGCCACACCGCCAGGUUGUGCAGAACGUAAUAGGCGCUGAACUCGGCGCUCCUUUGUAGCGGCGCUCCCCACGGUGACCUUCCGGCCCUCGACUGAACAUGAACUCCCCACUCUCCCCACCCCACGCCACCCCCGGUUAGGAACCGAAAGCAGGAAAGCACACGCGCUGCCUCUUUCUCUUGUGUUUUGAAAGGUGGUGUCAGCUCAAAAUCAAUCCCAUUCGGGAAAAUAACAACUUAAGAGAGUUGUUAACAUUUCUAAUUUAAUCUAUCCGUCCGUUCUGGGAGGGGGGUGUGGGUGUGUAACUAGGACAGUGAAAUCUGUUAAUGGUUUUAAGGCUGCAAGUGCUAAGAGUAAGUUCCCCUGAAGUCAAUGGGGCCUCCUUUUGCUUAGACGCCUCUAGGAUUGUGCUGCAACGUCUAUUUGUUGUUUUGCUUUUAGGCAAGGAAUAAUUAUUGGAAACAAAUGGAUAAUGCCUGAACCCAGGUGUCAUCUGAAAAAUACGGCAUUCGGUGAAGUUUUUUUCUUUCUUUUACAGAACAGCGAAAACUUUAAAAGGGGAGGUUUUGUGGGAAUUCAUCUGAAGUACAGUGAUGUACUCUGAAAUCCUUUUCCAAAAGAGCAGCAUUGAUUUAAUGUAGUGUUUUCUUUGACUACUGAAUGAAAGCCUGCAAUUUGCAUGUCCGCAGGAGACAGAAUUCUAGAAUACAUAGGACUCGCGCUUGGGAAGGCCUGAAGCCAUUCUCCCAGCCAUGCAAAGACCUACUUCCUGUAUACAACUCUUCGGUAUGGCAGAGAGAACAAAAUCUGAAGUCGAUGACAGGGUGAAAUUGACUCAAUAUUGCCGUCCCCCAAGUAAGCAAAUGUGGGGCCACAAGUGCCUUAAAUCUGCUCAUGUAAAUGUUAUCAUAGCCUUUACAUAAAUUCUCUUGGGGUAAUAGUUCCUUGGGAGUUCAGAUUUUCUCCUGGGUAAAGGCAGUUCUGAUUCCACCCUGGCAGCAAAUCCGGGCCACAUGUGAGGAAAUCAACCAUAAACUUCAGAAAGCAGUUAUUUUACAGCGCAAGGAAACUGGGUCAUGGCACUGUUUAGCUAGUCGUCUUACUUCAGAGUAGUAUUCAUCAGUACGAGACAUUCACACUCAAUGUUCAUUCACACCGUCUAGGGAGGGUGGCUGUACCUAGUCACACUAUUAGGCAGGGUACAGUAGCUUGCCUCUGAGAGCAGAGUUUUGGGUAUCAUUAAAGGGCAGCAAACUGUCAAUGGCUAUGUUUGUUUUAUUUUAUCUUUCACCAGUGGGGGUGGCAGUUUAGAUUUUCUGCCUCAGGCACCACAAUGUCUUGGGCUGUGUCUCUGGCUGUACUUGCUUAACAUCUGCUACAGGGUGUAUCGCCGUUGCCUAUAUGUGUGAGAUGCACAUGCUACAUAUAAUUGACUGUGCAUUCUAAAAUCCACACAGCAGCUGUCUCUCAUUUUAGAAAUUAAGCACUGGAAGCGUCAGGACUGGGGAAACCAUUCCAGACACUUUGUCACUCAAGGGCUUAACUGUUGGCUGACGGUGCCUAAGUAUUUAAAUAUUUCCUCGGUUCUGUACAGGGCCGGACCCUAAAUAUUUGAUGCUCGCUCUUCAGAAUUUGAAAUAUUUCCCCAGAAAGUUCUUGUGUGUCGCUACAUUGUGUGUCACUGAAAAUGUACACGCGGCCCAAGUAGAAGAUUGCAAAAUUGCCAAUGCUACCAAGUGAAGCACGUUGUGGUAUAGGGAUACAGAGUGCAUCACUGUAUGCCUCCUGGCUGUCAAUAUCAUGGCAUACAGCUUGCUAUGGAUGAUGGGAGCGUCACAGCCCUGGACACAAGGCACUUUAACUUCAACAGAAUCUUCUAGUGAGUCUGUAUUUCAGGAUCGUAUAAAUGGUUGACCCUUAAGGGGGAAAACAUAUAGCAAAGUCAACCAACUGAAGUAGUAACAGGAAGAUAUAAAUGUACUCAGAUGCUUGCAAUUUUGCAAGUAAGAUAAGAACCCUUUUGAGUUAGCUGCUUAUUUAAAAUAAAGAAAACUUGAGUUGGGUUAUUGAAAAGGAACGCGUUUUAAAAACUUGAUAAUUUACUUCUCUGUCUUUAUGCUAUUUAUCCAUGCCAAGGGACCUUUGGAGGGGGAGUAGUUCCAACUGGGUAACCAGUUUUGUCUCAUUUUAUUUGCUCUGUUUUGUCAUUCUCGAUUUCCAUCCACGGCUAUGUUAAUGUUGCAAUCCUUGGGUUGGGCAAAUGUUCUUUAGGUCUGGCCCUGCCCAAAUUAUUUGCAUUGAAAUGAAUCUUAAAAGCAAUUAAAUAGAUCCUGUUUGGCAAA